UAUGAUUAAUAGAUAUACCAAUCAUUGUGUUGGGUACCUAAUAAUAUUGAUGAGGCAUGAUACUUGACGGUAGAGAUAGGAUAGAGUAGUAUUCAUGGAUGGAUGUAAGAAAUAGAGCCAUGUGGCUUAAGUUAACUUCUUUUUGCUUUGAACAGGCUUGAACAUAGAAGUAGUGCAUGGCUAGAUUCAGGAUCUCAGAGUAAAGUGUAUAUGGGAAACUGC
rnacentral:lncRNA from 1 species